GGGCAAGACAUAGGCAUGGACUAGCCCAAAGCUAGUCGGGCAACCCUAGACCAGGUUCAAGGAAGCUUUGGGUUGGCCCAAGCCUAGAACGAAUACCACACUAGCAGGUCAACUUUGUGCAUGCCCGACCAAGACCCCUCAAGUUUAACCCAACCCAAGACCCGUAUAUCAAUAUCCCAUGGUGGCAGCAUUCGCCAGAGGAACAGUGCAUAUGGGACAGCAAAAAUAACUUGUGCUUGAAUUGACCUUAUGUUCAAAUUUGGGCUGGAUAAUAAGGAUAUGUUUGGUUCGCGACCGAAGUCAGAAUUGAAAUGAUCAUAUUUUUUGCUAUAUUUGAUUUAUGGCUUGAAUUGGAAUCAAAAUUGAAAUCUAAUUUAGAUACAAAAUAAGAGUCUGGAU
rnacentral:lncRNA from 1 species